ensembl:lncRNA
CGCCCGCCCCGGACUUCACACCCGGAUCCCGCCCGAGCUCCCCACCCCGCCCUGGCCGUCCCCACCAGGCCAAGGCCACCAGCUCCGGACCCCCCAGCUCCAAGGUAAAGCCCUCUGGGGCGGCGGCGGCGGCGGGAGGUCCCUGAGCCCCGGGCAGCCGGGAGAUCUUCUGCCCAUCACCUCCUGGCCCGGGCCCCCUGUCCUCUGUGCGCACGUGUCUGGCCCUUCCCCUCUCUGCAGGUCUCCUCUGAAGCCUCUCUGCCCCCCUCUCUCUCCCAGCUGUCUCUGCGGGUCUCAGAGAUCUCUCUGCUCCCCCAUUCUCCGCUCCGCUCCCUCCCCGGCCCUCCUCCGGCUUCUCUCCCAGAUGAAGUCUCUCUCACCCCGCUUGGCUCUCUCCAGCCUUCCUCCUCUCCCCCCCAGCGCCAGCCAGCUCAUUCUUUCCUGCAAAGCAGGAGCCGUUACUCAUGUCACCUCCCUCCCUCCCUCCCUCCCUCCCAUUGGACUCCUCAGCUGGGGGGGGGGGGCAGACCCAGAGAGGGAAGGGAGAGGAAGCGGGUCCAGAGCGGCCCUCUGGGAGGACCCUGCGCCCAGGCUGGCAAUGGAGUGAAGGAAGAAGGGUCCGAAGAGGAGGGACAUUUGUGUUCUAGGCAAGUCCUUGCAUCAGGAGCUGCUGAACACACCCUAGGCUGGUUGCUUCCUGUUUUCUGGAGGGGAGCCGGGGGUGGGGUGACCGAGAUGGGGAUGACUCUCUGGGCUCAUCUCCCCACUUCCUCCGGGGUCUGAAGAAGGACUUCUGGGAGUCAAAAGCCACACCCACAGCUAGCCCCAGAGCCCCCCUCCGCACAGAUCUCAAUCCCAUCACCCCCUCCUACAGAUGUCGCCCCCAGGCCACUUCUGCUUCCUUUUCCUCCUCCUGGGCUGGGCCGUGCCUUCGAGGACCCAAGACUUAUCAGUGGAGACCCAUUUAGGUACAUCGAUGGCCCCACCAUUAAUGGAGAAGGACCAUUCAACCCCUGCUUCAAGCUCAGGCACAGCUCUAAGCCCAACCACCUCAGAGCACCAGCUGACUUCAGGGGAUCCUACCAAGUACAGCGCCGACACAGGCCAAACCCAGCCAGAGAAGAAGAUGGAAACUACUUCCGAGAUGCGUAACUUGGACCCUCCAACUGUGGGCAGCAGAACAAGAACUCCCAAGCCUUCAGCCUCUUCUGGGCACCAGGAGGCGGAGAAUCCCUUCCAAAGUGAUGAAUAUACCCUCCGGAAGAGAGGUUUACUGGCAGCUGCUGUUCUCUUCAUCACAGGCAUCGUGAUUCUCACCAGUGAUCGGUGCCGCCAGUUUCGUUGGUGCAGAAGGCAACAAAGAAGUGCCUACAGGGUGGCCCAAGCCUGAGGCCCCAGCUCUAAUGAAGAGAUACCAGUGGAGCCAUGAUGGUGGAAGGACCCCAAGGCUCUGGCCGACUCUGAAGCUCAUGGAGCUCUGGGAAGAAAGUCCCACUGCUCACCCCUUUUACCUGGUUUCUCACUGCCAUGACGAUGCCUUUUUCAAGAUGGCACCAGCUCCUGUUUCUAGGUCUCCCUGGUCUCUGUUGCCACUCCCCCCCAGAUCCCAAGUUUCUCAGCCAAAUUCUCAAUAAACAUUUGCGGGACAAAUGAAUGGACGAGUGU